rnacentral:lncRNA from 1 species
GGCUAGUAAGGCAAUUUAACAAACACCUGGUGUGCAUAAAAUCAAUCCCACCACCAUCUCAAGAUGAAAUACCCAAUUUCGUCUUCGACUCCUUCAAAGAUAAUCCCCAAACCAAACACACGAAUCCCGCAUCCCUAUGAACACAACCCAGCAAAAGCAAUUAUAAAAAAAAAUUCUAUAUUUGAAUUGUAGAUCCCCAACCUAAUCCAAACAAACACUAAAUCAAUUUACAGUGAAUCAAAGAGCUUACCAACAGAGAUAACAUCAAAGCCUAAAUUAAUGUAGGAGUUCGCAAUGAGGUUCGUCUUUUGUCAAACCCUAAUUAUGUGGUCGUUCGGUGAUCGAGGGUGAGAGAUCAGAAUGGGUUCUUCGUGAGGUAUUGGGAUGAAGUUGGGGUUUUCAGAUCGAGUUUAGUGUGUUUGUGUUUGACAUGGGGUUGAGAGAGUAGUCGAGAGAAUGAAAUUAGACUCAGAUGUAUCGGGGGGAGAGAGAGAGAGAG